AACGAACGCUGGCGGCAUGCCUAAUACAUGCAAGUCGAACGAUCACUUCGGUGGUAGUGGCGCACGGGUGCGUAACGCGUGGGAAUCUGCCCUUGGGUUCGGAAUAACAGCUGGAAACGGCUGCUAAUACCGGAUGAUGACGUAAGUCCAAAGAUUUAUCGCCCAGGGAUGAGCCCGCGUAGGAUUAGCUAGUUGGUGGGGUAAAGGCCUACCAAGGCGACGAUCCUUAGCUGGUCUGAGAGGAUGAUCAGCCACACUGGGACUGAGACACGGCCCAGACUCCUACGGGAGGCAGCAGUAGGGAAUAUUGGACAAUGGGGGCAACCCUGAUCCAGCAAUGCCGCGUGAGUGAUGAAGGCCUUAGGGUUGUAAAGCUCUUUUACCCGAGAUGAUAAUGACAGUAUCGGGAGAAUAAGCUCCGGCUAACUCCGUGCCAGCAGCCGCAGUAAAAC
rnacentral:rRNA from 1 species